GGUGGGUUGGCUCAGUGGUUAGAGCGUAGGUCUCGUAACAGAAAGGUCGCGGGAUCGAAUCCCGCUAGAGGCUG
rnacentral:tRNA from 1 species